rnacentral:ncRNA from 1 species
UAGUUUUCAAACUGGACAUUAACUUUGAGCGGGAAACUUUGUGGUAAUGCCCUUGCCUGGAAAGGCAAUGGGCCGAAGCUAACAUCUGUAGUCUAAUGACUGAACGCCUCUAAGUCAGAAGACAUGCUAG